UCUACCAAAAACAGUGUUCUAAGUUAUUCUUUCAUCGAUUAUAUCAAUUUAUGUCUUCAUUUCAUCCAAAUUAAAAAAAAAAAAAACGAAUUCCCAAUUGUUUGCUAAAGCGCUUGAGUUGAUUUACAAAUUAAAGCUGGUGGAUUUGAGAUUUUGUUUGCUGAAAUGCAACAGAAGAAACCCAUGGAAAAAACAUAUCACCAUUUCUGAGAAGGGCUGGUGCAUUUGUUUUGUUUUGUUGCAGGCUAAAGGAUUCCAGGGAAGGAGCUAUAUAAGAUUACAAACAAGCAGCAAACUGAUUAAUCCUUCAUUAGCAUCAGGUCUCCAAGGCAGUGCCGGCUCUGAAGCCCGUCAACUUGUGGAACAGCACAGGGCGGAUAAGUUUUUAAGUUACUAAGGUCUUGUAUUUUGAGGCCCAAUAUCUACUGCACAACAACACACAGCAGAAAAGUGCUUUUACAAAAGCUGCAACAAUACCAAAACUAAGCCUAAUCCAUGUUCAUUUAUCAGGGAAAAGGCUAGUUUCUUAAGAAUGGUGGAUGGCAUAAAGUGAGAAGUAUGCAGGAUUGUCAUCCAGAGGUAGUUCACAUUUAGGCUUCCAAGGCUCUCCUCAGUCAGAGGUAGCAAUCUGAGGAGGAAAAUAAUUUCGUUUCAGUAUUUUCAAGAACAAAUCUGCACCAGACACUGAUGGACCUGGCUCUGCGUCUCCGAGCCUGGUAUAACAAGUAUCUGGACCAGGUCCUGAUGGGGAAGGGAGAAGCAGAGUCGCAGGAUGAUAAAUGAAUGUCAUCAUGGAACUUAGACAAGAACCACUAGCUACACUUGCUGCACAGAUGAUCCAUCUUUUGUUCUCUUUUUUUUGUUUUCCUGCCAUCAGGUGUGUUCUUAUCAUGUCCCAAACUUUCCACAGGCAUUUUGGAUGUUGAUGAUCUUAGUUGCCAGGUUUUUUAACUUUCUGGGUGUUGUUCUGUUGCCCAGAUUUAUGUUUUUUAAACAGUUAAACAUCUUACUGUUGGAUAUGUAAGUUUCUAUGGUAUAACAAUGUAAAAAUUUGUUAUGAAUGGUAUAAGUUUUUGGUUUA